GACGAACGCUGGCGGCGUGCUUAACACAUGCAAGUCGAACGGAAAGGCCCUGCUUGCAGGGUACUCGAGUGGCGAACGGGUGAGUAACACGUGGGUGAUCUGCCCUGCACUUCGGGAUAAGCCUGGGAAACUGGGUCUAAUACCGGAUAGGAGCCAUUUUUAGGGUGAUGGUUGGAAAGUUUUUUCGGUGUAGGAUGAGCUCGCGGCCUAUCAGCUUGUUGGUGGGGUAAUGGCCUACCAAGGCGGCGACGGGUAGCCGGCCUGAGAGGGUGGGCGGCCACAUUGGGACUGAGAUACGGCCCAGACUCCUACGGGAGGAAGAAGUGGGGAAUAUUGCACAAUGGGCGCAAGCCUGAUGCAGCGACGCCGCGUGGGGGAUGACGGCCUUCGGGUUGUAAACUCCUUUCGCUAGGGACGAAGCUUUUUGUGGCGGUACCUAGAUAAGAAGCACCGGCUAACUACGUG
rnacentral:rRNA from 1 species